GACGAACGCUGGCGGCGUGCCUAAUACAUGCAAGUAGAACGCUGAAGCUUGGUGCUUGCACCGAGCGGAUGAGUUGCGAACGGGUGAGUAACGCGUAGGUAACCUGCCUGGUAGCGGGGGAUAACUAUUGGAAACGAUAGCUAAUACCGCAUAAGAGUAGAUGUUGCAUGACAUUUGCUUAAAAGGUGCAAUUGCAUCACUACCAGAUGGACCUGCGUUGUAUUAGCUAGUUGGUGAGGUAACGGCUCACCAAGGCAACGAUACAUAGCCGACCUGAGAGGGUGAUCGGCCACACUGGGACUGAGACACGGCCCAGACUCCUACGGGAGGCAGCAGUAGGGAAUCUUCGGCAAUGGACGGAAGUCUGACCGAGCAACGCCGCGUGAGUGAAGAAGGUUUUCGGAUCGUAAAGCUCUGUUGUAAGAGAAGAACGAGUGUGAGAGUGGAAAGUUCACACUGUGACGUAUCUACCAGAAGGACG
rnacentral:rRNA from 1 species